UUAUUUUUUUUUUAACUAUAAAUUUGAUUUUUCUUAUAUUGUGCAUAGUUGACUAAAAAGUUAAUCUGUACCGACAUAAAAACAUGUAAAGCUUAGUCAAAGAAAAAUUCUUGAUCUACAUGAAAUACAGAUUCAUGCAAAAGUUAAAAAUAAAUUCCUAAAUAUAUUAGUACAAUUUAUAUUUUUAACUCUGUUAACGUGGUAUAAUUAAUUGCUAAUUUUAUAAAGCUUAAACAAAUGUUGAGCUAACGCAACUUUCGACAUUUCUGUAAUUUCGUAACACAUUGCACUAUAAUUAUAUGAGUAUAAAGUUAUGGUUUUCUUUUAUAAAUAUUUAAAGAAGAACAAAUUUAAUAAUAAUUAUUCAAAAAAAUAGGUAUUUACAAUGUUACAAAUAUUCUAAUCAAAAAAAAGUUAAAUAGAAAUUUGUUAAAUUAUUUUGUGUUAUAUUAUUGAGAACAUUUUUGAUGUAAAUGCACCUUGCCUUUUGUACAAAUAAAUACGGUUUAGCUGUUACACAACUUGGAUGAAGGAUCGGAUUUUUGAAUAUGAUAAGCUAUAUCAUGGAAUCGUCCAUGUUCACUAGACGUCAUCGAUAUUGAUCGAGGUCUACCUACAAUAUUUGGGGUUUGCCGUACUUCUGUCAGUAUUUUGUUAGCUACGUGACGUGGAAAAAUGACAAUAAGUUGUCAUUGUAACUUCCUUCUCUUCCAAAUAUCUAAGAAUUAUUAAUGCAUACAGAAAUCAAAUAGGUAAUUUUUGGGAAAUAAAUUUUUUUUGGUCAAGAAUGCAUGGUCGAUACAUUGAUAUAUUUUUUUCUAUUCUAUCUACUCCUCCCAUUGUCAAGUUGUAUUGAUGAAUUGUAUUAGGAAUAGGAAUUUUAAUUCUUUUUUGGAUACUACGUAUCGCUUAGUCUUCCUCAUGGACAAAAAGCAUAUAGUUGAUGCAAUAAUAACAAUAUUAUUGUCAUUUACCUGAUAUCGACUAAAUUAUAAUUUGCAUCCUUAGAAAUGUUCUUUGUUUCUACUCUAUUUUUUUUAUGGUUCCAGUACCAUCAUGGCCCAUAUUUUGAUAUUUUCCAAAAGUUUUAUCAAAGUGAAAAAGUUAUCUUAAGAAUAAUUAAACCUUAUUAGGGUGGGUUUUUUAAUUUUUUCCAAGGUUUGAAAAAUAACUCUUCCUCCGAAACCAUCUUCAUUGUAGCUUUUGUUGUAUGCUCCAUGUUUUUGUUGGUAUAACAAUAUAUCAAUGGCGUAACCCUUUGGAUCUGCAUCAACCCUAGGCUUGUAUACUCCUCGAAUCUCGCCUCAUAGAUUUUACAAUAGCUUUAUUAUGUACAUCUGGCUGCAAUCGCCAAAAAUGUCGGCGACGGGGAACAGAUCAAUAAUCUGACAUAUACAUACAUUAUACCUAUGAAACAUUUUGAUCAAAUUUAUUGUAAAGGCAUGGUUAUCUUGUUGAAUCGCAUAAUUAUUUGUUGAUUAGACUAAAUGUUCAAUGGCCUCUUUGAACAGUAGCAGUUGAACAUUUUCUAGAGAACUUCUUUGAAAGGCAGCACUUGAUGGGCUGUAAUUAGAUUAAUUCAAUUUUGAGUAAUCAGAUAUUGCAUCAGCUAUCCCAUUUCUGGAUAAAUUUUUAGCCUUAUGUAUAGAAUUGGUUUUAUUUGUGUCCUCUUCAAUAUCAAAUUCCACCGAAGCAAAUGUUGUGAGCUAUGACACAUAAAGUUUUCUAAGGUCAUGUUAUCUUCUUCGCCAGAAUCCUCAUCAGUAAUAUUUCCAUCAUUAAGAGGAGUAAUGAAUAUGUUUGGAGUUCCAGUGAAUUUAUUGCUCCAUGUGAUCAGUUCAGUCUUGUUUUGUCAUAUUUCAAUAGGGGAUAUUGAUCUAACAAGUCCGUAUCAUCUAAUGAAAAAUAUGACCAUUUAUCAAGUUCAUCUAGUACUUCGGUUAAAGUUAAUGGUCUGAAAUACUUGUUAUGAAAGAAAUUCAACAAAAUUUUAAUGGCAGGAUAAAUAGCAUUUAUGCAUUUUUCUAGGGGAAUCUCGAAAGCUGUUUAAGAGGCAUUAUUUUUAUUCACAGUAACCUCCAAUUUAUUUUCAACAGACUCCUUCCAUUUAAUAACAUCUGAACAUAUAUAUUUUUUCAGAUUAACCUUGUUUACUAGUAAGGUGGACUCGUAGCAUAGACAAUAUGGGUAAAUUUUAAGGGUACCGUUCAUUCAUAGUGUGCCAUAACAUGUGCGAAGAAAGAAAAGGUGAGGCCGAACCUAACCAUACUUUUGGGUCAAGCUCCAUUUUCACAUGAUUGUUGGGCCCAUAACACUCGGACCUGGUCGGCUUUCAUUUCUAAUUUGAUUUGACCAGUUGGGUUUCAUUUUUUUAUUUUCUUGCUGAAUUUUUUUUUAGAGGUCUCUUAUUGGUUUUUAAUAUGUCUUUGCAGAUUUUUUCAAAUCACUGUACAUUCCUCCUAUGAGAUCAUCUCCCAUAUCCCAAAGUGGUCUUAGUUUGUCUAUAGUUUUAACUUCUCCAGAUAGGUGGGUUCUGUUUUAUUAUUUCUUUUACUGUUAGAAUGAAAGACUUGGGAGUAGGGAUUGCUUGGCGUGUGAGAUGUAAAAAUUAUUCCAGAAUCACUCGUCUAUAUUUUCUGCUACAUCCCGGCCUGAAUGCACUACCCUGACCACUUAAGAACUGCAUUUUUUAGUAUGAAAAUAAUAAGUGCAUAUCAACAGUAUGCACUAUACAUAUAUUCGUGCAGUUGUAAUAUUUAUAAAUUAUUUUGUAAUACUUGUCUUCAGUUUUCGUAUUGUACAUAGUACAUUUUGUACUUCAUAUUUUGCAUUGCCUAUUAAUGUUACAUUUUGUAAUUAUUUAUUAUAUUAUUGAAGGUUUUUAUUAUUUUUCAGAAUAUAAUAAAUGUCUAAGGCAGUUAAUAUAUUCAGAUUUGGGUGUGAUUAUAAUAUCGACAAUACAUAUUAUUAGCUGAUAUUUUGCAUAGAGGAGCAAAGAAAUUCGCAUGUGCCCUGUUCGAUUACAUAGCUGAUAACAAUAAUAAAUCAUCUACGACUUGCUGGGCCUAUUAAUUAAGCUGUGUAUACUACCAGGCCUUAAAAACAUAUGUGUUUAUCUAUGUUUAUUAAAUAAAUAAUACUACGUAAUAAUUAUAGGGCACUGUUCUACGUUCUUAUAAAAUAACAAAUUGUGUGGUUAGAAAUGUUUUAAUAUUAAAAAAGGUAAACAGCUGGUAUAUUUUUCUUUCUCCUUUUUUCCUUCAUUAUUUAUUAAUAUUUAUUGUGGACAACUUCUCCUUCUAUUAAAAACAAUAGUUUGCCGCUUACUUUAAAGCCCAAGUGAGUAACACAAAGAGUUCUCAUCGUCCAUCCACUACCACUUCAUUAAAAUUCUGGAGUUCUUAUGUUUCCGUCUCUUAAUCUAAGAAAAAUAUUUCAUUUAUAAGAGUCAUUCAGUUUCCUUGAUACCCCUAAAGAUUAUGUGGCUCCGUUUUCUCGAUAGCUUUGUCUAAAUUGCUAAUGCAUCUUCUAUUCUGCUAAUUUGUUUUUUUAUUUAUGUAUAAAAAUGUCUCAUUUUGUACAUGUAUAGUGCCAUUAAUAAAUUGAUGAAUAUAUUUGUUUUAUUUUAACUUCUA
rnacentral:lncRNA from 1 species